rnacentral:rRNA from 1 species
AUACAGAGGGUGCAAGCGUUAAUCGGAUUUACUGGGCGUAAAGCGCGCGUAGGUGGCUAAUUAAGUCAAAUGUGAAAUCCCCGAGCUUAACUUGGGAAUUGCAUUCGAUACUGGUUAGCUAGAGUAUGGGAGAGGAUGGUAGAAUUCCAGGUGUAGCGGUGAAAUGCGUAGAGAUCUGGAGGAAUACCGAUGGCGAAGGCAGCCAUCGGGCCUAAUACUGACACUGAGGUGCGAAAGCAUGGGGAGCAAACAGGAUUAGAUCCCCUGGUAGUCCAUGCCGUAAACGAUGUCUACUAGCCGUUGGGGCCCUUGAGGCUUUAGUGGCGCAGCUAACGCGAUAAGUAGACCGCCUGGGGAGUACGGUCGCAAGACUAAAACUCAAAUGAAUUGACGGGG